UGUUGCGUUCAUCCAGAGGAGAAGUACUAUGUGUCCUGUGUUGCACGAGUUAGACAACGUAAGGCCUGUCAGCUGCAUCCAGAUCAGCAAAUGGAUCACCCUUGGGAAAACCUUAAACCUUUCCUUCAGGUCAGGGCAGCAUGAAGAUAUCUCAUCUGAGGACCUGAACUAUUGGCCCAUCCACUCUCUUCUGACCACACACCUGGCAGCCUAAGCAAGGCAUGUCAGUAAGUCCAUAUUCCAUGUCCAGUAUAUCCAGCUCCUCCUCACUGAUGGUGUUUGCUUGUCAGAAUGCAUCGACCUUGAAGAUAUGAUGAUUUAUAAAUAUGCAGUACUCCAUUCCACAUUAUUGCAACAUUGAGAAGGCAGACUGCAUUGACUGCGACUGACGAUGCUGCUGUGACUAAGUUACAGUUGCUGUGGAAACGAUUUUAAUUUUACUUUUUUAUGAAUUUUGAAGAUUACACCUUAAUACCGCAUUAACAUGGUCAAUGGAAAGGAACACAAAAAUUGUCAAAAAGGUAAUCCAUUUUAGGUUGGUAUAAGAAAAAGAAGACAAUCAUAUUAUUACUACAAUGAGUUGAUAAGAACAGGUGAGCACAAUAGUUCUCUUGCUAGGAAGUGCAUUUCACUAAGAAGAAGAAACCGGCCAUUGCUGGAAAAGGUGUGUUCUCCUCUGUCCACCCCACCCACCUCUAGGUGUUGACUAUCUGCAUAGGGCGAGUUAGAUCUACAUAAUCAUCCUUUGUAAUCAUGCACCUUUCUUCCCAACAGCUUUAUUGACUGGUGGCACUGACAACUCUCAAGUGCUAACUUCCCAUGGUAGGAGUACCCAGAAUCUUUCAGUCUCUUAAGUCAUUCCUUGAAUGUGUGGAGCAGGGAUGGGUAGCUGGUGGCCCUCCAGAUAUCGCUGGACUCUGACAUGCAUCAGCCCUAGCCAGCAUGGCUCAUGGAAUGGGGACCACCACCACCCCCAAGGUCCCAGGGGGUGCAUUACAACAAUUAAACAAUAACUAAAACAUAUUAAAACCAGUCUAAUUACAGAAAUAAGGUGGGUCUUACAAAUAUACACCUCAGAUGUCAAAAGCCAGGGCAAAGAGGCAUAUUUUGAGCAUUUGCUGAAAGCUGUAUAAUGAAGAUGCCAGAUGGACCAUAAAUAUCAAGUCAACAACUUCCUUUUUUAAAGCAAACCUUAUUUCUUCAGUGCUUAAUUCAAUGAAAUUCUGAAGACAAGGGUAUUUGUAUUUAAGGUUCUUAUGAUGUCCAUUGAAGUCUUAACUGUAGACUACAAAACACUUUUGAAGGAAGAGGGACCCGUGUUUAUUUUUCUCUCAGCUAUAACUUGGCAUGUAGGGCAUGGGGGGAAGCUGGCCAGGAGAAAUCUACCCAGCUUCCUUGACCUCUAAAGAAUCACAUGUAAAAACUUUUGAAAAGUAUUGUCGUCAGUGAUUACUUUUCCUAUUAUUAUUUUUAAAACUGUUUUGAGUAUCGCUAUUGCAAUAAACUUUUUGGCAUAAUUUCCUUUUAGAUUUUGGACACGUUGCUGUAAAGAAAAUAACCUUUUUGUAGACUCUUGGUCAUGGGAAACAAUAAUAGCACUGGAAAUCCAAUAAGCUUUAUGAUGUAAAUAUGCAUUCCCUAACCAUUCUAUAAUGUACAUUAUAGCAAUUUGAAUUAAGUGACUUUUAAAAACAUUGAUUAUUGAUUUGCUAAACUAUCCAGC